rnacentral:rRNA from 1 species
UACGGGGGGAGCAAGCGUUGUUCGGAAUUACUGGGCGUAAAGAGCUCGUAGGUGGUUUGUCGCGUUGUUCGUGAAAACUCACAGCUUAACUGUGGGCGUGCGGGCGAUACGGGCAGACUGGAGUACUGCAGGGGAGACUGGAAUUCCUGGUGUAGCGGUGGAAUGCGCAGAUAUCAGGAGGAACACCGGUGGCGAAGGCGGGUCUCUGGGCAGUAACUGUCGCUGAGGAGCGAAAGCGUGGGGAGCGAACAGG